AUUGAACGCUGGCGGCACGCUUUACACAUGCAAGUCGAACGGCAGCGCGGGGGCAACCCUGGCGGCGAGUGGCGAACGGGUGAGUAAUGCAUCGGAACGUAUCCUGUAAUGGGGGGAUAACGUAGCGAAAGUUACGCUAAUACCGCAUACGCUCGAGAGAGGAAAGUGGGGGAUCGCAAGACCUCACGUUAUAGGAGCGGCCGAUGUCCGAUUAGCUAGUUGGUGGGGUAAAGGCCUACCAAGGCGACGAUCGGUAGCUGGUCUGAGAGGAUGAUCAGCCACACUGGGACUGAGACACGGCCCAGACUCCUACGGGAGGCAGCAGUGGGGAAUUUUGGACAAUGGGCGAAAGCCUGAUCCAGCCAUGCCGCGUGC
rnacentral:rRNA from 1 species